rnacentral:lncRNA from 1 species
ACCCAGUUAAAAAGAGUGCGUUGUGUAGAACAGUCAUAAGCAGUCCGCUAAGAGAUUAGUAGCAACUACGAAGUGAAGUCGCAAACAUGUGCAAGGCUGUUGUAGAUUGUAAAGAAAGAAUGAAGGAUUGGAAGAGUGUGAGGAGACGCUGAGCAAACGGCCUUCAAAUCGAAAGUGGUGUGAGUCAUGGGCGCUGCCACCAUCUAUGCGAAAAGCCCACCAAGCAUUGGUCACGGAGCACACUCGUUUCCUGCUCCUCGCACGUUAAUGGCAACGAUGAUGAGGAACGGAACACAAACAAGAAACUACGUCGCAGUGGGUCACUGAAUGAAUCCGCGUCCCGGUAGCAACAAUAGUUCGACUAUGGCUGGUACUGGUAAAGAAGAAUCCCGAACACGAUCGUCGCAGUGACGAUGACGUUGCGUUGUAGAAUUACUGAGUGAGUCUCAACGUCUGUCCGAGUCCCCCCACGUCCACCGCCAGGCACUGAGUUCCGCAAACCAGCCGAUGGCCGAUUCUACACAGAUCGCCGGAGCAGGGAGCAGCAGCAGCAAACACCACCGAGUCUCCUCUGCAUGCCAAUGCCCAUGCAAUUCAGUCGCAGCGGACAGAACAUUGGGGACAAGGCGGAAUGCGCGCGGCAGCAGCUCCAGCUCGCAUCAGCUUACCUGCGUUUGAAGCUCUCGUGCUGUUGCCAACCACCGACAAUCACCACCUAUUCUGCAUUGAACGCUUCGCAGCUGCUGAUCACCACCCACCCAUCCGCACAGAUACACGGUAUUUGGUAUAUCAGCUGCGAACAAAAUAUUGCUUUUUAAACAAAAUUCCAGAGAAAAGAACAGCGGAGCAUUCAUUUAUCAUCGAAACGACAUUGAGGAACUGCUGUAAUCCUUUCGGGUGAACACCGUGUGCGAUUGUUAUUGUGAUAUACAAUUGAAAGGCAGUCGUCGAGUUUUUAUCUUUCUGUCUUCGCUCGGUACACUUUUCUGGACUUCUCUUUCACCGUUUGUGAUUUUGGCAAGCGAUUAUUGGACCCCUUUCCAUUCAAACUCCCCAUCUUCCUAAUCAAUAGGCUAGAUAAGGCCGCUUAAAUCUUUGUAGCUGCAUGUCACAGUUGAUCGGUUCCUGUGGGUGCUUUUGUUUGAUGGGAUUGCUUUGCGGUCUUCAAGUAUUCACGGUCUUGAGGGCUCCAGACGAGGAUCUUUCCAGCAAAUCUAUGCGCAAGCAGGCGUCAAAGAGUUUGUAGACUAGGCACGACCAUCACAUUUCGUUUUUUUUUUUUUUUUAUAGCGUUGCAUCGCAGUUGAUCGGUGCCUGCGGGCAUGUAUAAAUGGAAUCUAGCGAGGCGGAAGAUUGAGGUCUUCAAUUCUAUGGCCCCAAACAACGCUCCUGCGACAUCAAUCCCUCAAUUAGAAUAUGUGCAAAGAAGCAUAACUAAUCAACUGAACAAGCGUAAAAGCUAAGAUAUAUGCAACCGAUAUCUUUUCUUUCGUAUUUUGUAGAAAUACAUUUUCAUGGACUGAUAAUCUACAGAGAAUACCAACUCGGCGCUAUGGGCCCGCCCAAUACAUGUAAAUUUGUGAUUUUAUGUCCAAAAUAUUUUUUGUCUUGUAGCAUUAUGGGUGCAGUUGAAUGUACCUGCCCAUAAUUAAAGCCUGCAAAUCAAGAGUUAUUGUUAAACGCAAGAGGGAACAUUUUGAACAGACUCAAAUCUGUACACGGCCUCUGUAAGGAAUGUGCAAUCGAUACCCUUUUCUCUCGUAUUUUAUAGAAAUACAUGUUGUGGAACAGUUUAGAUGCUAUGGAAUUGUACCACGUAGUUGGACCACCACACAAAUUUAAUUAAAGUAUGGAGAAAAACUUUUUUCUGUUUUCAAGCUGUUCCCGUUGAAUGUGCCUGCCCACAUCUCAUCUAUAGCUUCUGAGUAAAUCCAACAGCGAACCGUCUAUUCUUGGGACUUUAACAGCGUUUGAGAAAUGGUUGGAUCUUUACAUUGCUCAUUUAAUACUAAAGUUAAUCUUCUUUCCCAAUACCUAGACGCUUAUUUAUGAAUUCAUUGCAGUGUUUAUACAGAGACAUCGGUUUCAAGCAACCAGUCUUAUCAAUCACAUAGUUGACAUACCAGUGCACAUUUGCCUGUAUUAAAACCAACCGAGAACAUGUAGCAAAAUUUCUUGAGGCAAUGGGAAUCAAAUGCCAACUUGAAAGCAAUAACACCAACACUAAGUCGUCGCAGUCCAACAUCCAUACUACACGGCGAAUUCGAAUUGAAGACGCUGGUCAGGAUGUGGAUUAUCUGUCACAGAAACUUCGUUUGUCUUGAGCGUCGCUAAGAUUGGCCGUUUGACCCUCCCAAAAGUGAGAUUCUAAGCAGCCUUAAAUUUAUUUUACAAUUCUUACAGCGGUGCCGCACAGUUGAGUGUGCCUGUGGGCAUCGACUAAGCAAUAUUUGAACCGAAGGGCAGGGCAGUGGACCGUUCCGUUGAUGAUGAUGUGCACCGCUCCGAGCUGGCUAAGUCUACUGCUGUGCUGCUGCAAAUCGUUAAAGGGAACCCAAAACGAUGCAUCAAGUCCAUCCAGUUAGGCUUCUCUUCCAAAGCACAGCUCACCUGCGCUACAACGACAACCAAUUCAAUCGCACCUGCUUCUGCAAGCGAUCACAAUACGUCAAAUGAGCAUCGAGCACAGAAAGCAAGCAAACAACCAGGUUAAUGGCUUCCUCUGCUGACUAUGAAACUAUACGCCUUUACAUUGCAGCCAAGAAGCCUCUUAGUGCAUAUUCAACUACCAGCACAGAGCUUCUCAAUGACUGGAGUAAGCAUUGUUCUGACCGCAUCGGACCCUGACCGAGUCCGACUUGGGUGCCUCUGGUCGCAAGAUCUACAUUAGGACAGAGCCAGAAUAGGAGCGCUUAUCUAGCGCCAUGAUGUGCUGAGCUGAACCUAAGCACGUACUGCAUUGCACCGCACAGAUAUGUGCGUUCGGUCCACGCUAAAGGGAAUCAAAUGCGUUUGGACCGAGAGCCGAUACACCGCACCAUCACCAGUAUUCGCUGUGAAGUGAGCUGAUGUGUUGUCGUUGUUACAGGGCUGCUGCUGCAACUGCUCCACAGGUAUCCUCGCCUAGCGUCGGUAACUAUCAUUUGUCAAUUUUAGCGGCCGGCAGUGUACAUCAAACAUUGAAGUCCGGAGUCCGGAGUGGCAUGUAAUUAACGGCAGAUGUGAAACCAGCAAAUGGUGCUCAAGCAUUCCAUUUUAAAUCUGAAGAUUGUCAGCAGUAACAGUUAAAGACUAUCGACGCAGACUUGCAGAACGAAGCGCAGGAAGGACAAAGCACUUCGAUCACCAGCGGGUUGUCGUUUUACUUGCACUUUCCUUCCGUAGGUAGCCCAGAAUUCGAGAAAGCCCAUAUCCAUCGCAAAGGGAAACAAAUGCGAUUAGUGUUUGAAGACCAAGCUGGGUGUCCAAUGUGUCGCACCACGAUUAGCCAGUUGAGCCCAUAACUCCUGGCCCGCCGAUCAUCGUACCGCAAAAGGGAAUCAAAUGCGAGGUGGUACUACAGCAGUCGAGCUCCUCGUUGAGCUCCUGGUUUAAGUCGAACUCCCAACUGAGCUCCUGGUCGAGUUCUUCGCUUCAGCGUUUUUAUCGUAAAGGGAAUCCAACGCGAUGUACAGCGACAGCGGCAGGCAGGGUCACCCAAUACACAAAGGUAUACCAAUAUGAUCAGAGUUCCAGUCCGUGCAAUUACGCUUUUCAGAACCUCUCAAAAACUAAUCUGCACGUGUCUAAAUCUGGCUGCCAUGCCAGGCGCGACAUCAAUCAUAUUCGCCAUGUUGGUCUCAAAGGGAAUCCAAGAGACACGCGCCCCGCGGUACAACCAACUGAAGACCAAAUAGAUUUUGUUAUGCAUUUAUAACCAAGCAUUUUAGAAGUCAUAUCCUCAUAAUUUUUUCCUUUAGUGUUUCCAAAUCUAUGUAUUCUAAACGAAUCGUUUCAUUAUCUUGUAGGCUUUUAUAAACCUUUAAUUUAUUACUUGUAAACCUUUCCUCUAAGAGUCAAUGCAGACAUCCGACUUCGCUGACGAUUGCAUCGGGACUGCAUUACCCUAGGAUAGACGGUCCGGUCUAGAAGUAGCAGCAAGAGUCAGUUAAAUAUCAGUACCGCUAUUAGCAGAAGAUUCAUGGCAGUAAGAUGAUGUGGAUGCACCGUACAUAGACGUUUCAAACUGCAGAGGAUCGUUUGACCCCCGAACCAAGGCAGGGAGACCAUACAUACACAGGCGGAGGCAGUGCUGACCCUCAAUACAUUCGAGUAUUUCAACACUCUACCUUUUACCUAUAUUUACUGGGCAUUCAAUCACCAAAUUCGCAUCCUGGGUCUAUUUGGAGCAUAUUAAGAACGAACACUACACGGCGUAGGAGCACCACACGAUUUGGUCAUUUUUAUUAUGAGAAGUCCUAAAAUCCUCCUCGGAUCAUUCCUCAUUAUCUGCAUUUGGAGCAACAAGUAGGCUGGAGGUAUCAUUUCUUCACUAAGCACCAUCGAUUUCACACUACUGGCUUGGGAUAGCACCUAAUUCUUUACGAGUUUCGGCACUGAUGACGACUUCAAUCCUUGUUUCAACCCGUACCCCUUCGAACCAAUAUAAAAGUUGGAUUGCAUACAGCUUUCGCUUCGCUACACACUGGUCGAUUCUUUUUCUUUGUGAGGACCCUUCGUGAGGAUAUUAGAUUUGUUGAAGAAUGAUUCUCUAACUUGGACUGCGGCGUGGGAUUCAGUCUAAUUUAACCAUCGACAGCGGCCUAGGAGUAAAUUUGGACAGCGGCGUGGGAUUUUCGGCUCUCAAAGACGACGGCGGCGGACGUACGGAUAGUUCAGACUGCGGCGAGGGAUAUCAAGUUUUUGCAACGCGGGAUUAUUAGGGCGUUUAGGCCAGGGCGCUAGGAACCAUAUUCUUAAGACUACUGGAAUUUACAUCAAUGGAGAUGACUGCGGCGUGGGAGACGGAGAUCGGGACUGCAGCGAGGGAUCGAGGUUCUGGACAGCGGCGCGGGAUUCUUAUAAGAUUGGACGGCGGCGUGGGACCUUUUUUGACGGCAGCGUGGGAGUUUAGGACUGCAGCGCGGGAAUUUCUGACGGCGGCGAGGGAUCCUCGGUUUAAUUUUUCGGCAAUUGGUCAGCCAUCGCAUUCCAUAUACAUGCGUGUCACUCCAUUUAUUGAUAGUUCAAAGCUGAUAUACUUAGGUGGCGUGAUCAGCGUAAUCACGCCUCCAAAAAUACGCAUCCCUGAUUAUCCCUUAUAUGGAAAAUCUUCAUUGAAUAUACAUUUAUUUACACUUCUGGAAUACCGGAAAGCAACCCCAAUACUUAUGCCGAUGAUUCUAAUACAUGAAACGAUUUAAGAUCACAAUAAAUUGAUUUUUGAAAAG